UACGUAGGGGGCAAGCGUUGUCCGGAAUCAUUGGGCGUAAAGCGCGUGUAGGCGGCCUUGUAAGUCCGUUCUGAAAGCCCGGGGCUCAACCCCGGGAGGCGGAUGGAUACUGCAAGGCUCGAGUACGGAAGAGGCGAGUGGAAUUCCCGGUGUAGCGGUGGAAUGCGCAGAUAUCAGGAGGAACACCAAUAGCGAAGGCAGCUCGCUGGGACGGUAACUGACGCUAAGGUGCGAAAGCGUGGGGAGCGAACAGG
rnacentral:rRNA from 1 species